rnacentral:sRNA from 1 species
CCCUAGCCCUGAUUGAGGCGGCAUCCUUUUUUUGUUGCUCCAAAUGUAGUUUUUCAACUUUGAACUUCCAAACAAAAAAAGAUAUAGCCGAAAGCAGGAUUAGGC